CCUACGGGACGCAGCAGUGAGGAAUAUUGGUCAAUGGGCGAGAGCCUGAACCAGCCAAGUCGCGUGAAGGAUGACGGCCCUACGGGUUGUAAACUUCUUUUGUCAGGGAGCAAUUGGGUCCACGCGUGGGCUUAGCGAGAGUACCAGAAGAAAAAGCAUCGGCUAACUCCGUGCCAGCAGCCGCGGUAAUACGGAGGAUGCGAGCGUUAUCCGGAUUUAUUGGGUUUAGAGGGUGCGUAGGCGGGUUAUCAAGUCAGCGGUAAAAUCGUGGAGCUCAACUCCAUCCAGCCGUUGAAACUGAUGAU
rnacentral:rRNA from 1 species